GUUUGCCUACGGGAGGCAGCAGUAGGGAAUUUUUCACAAUGGGCGAAAGCCUGAUGGAGCAAUGCCGCGUGAAUGAUGAAGGUCUUAUAGAUUGUAAAAUUCUUUUAUUUGGGAAGAAAAACUAAAGUAGGAAAUGACUUUAGUCUGACUGUACCAUUUGAAUAAGUAUCGGCUAACUAUGUGCCAGCAGCCGCGGUAAUACAUAGGAUGCAAGCGUUAUCCGGAUUUACUGGGCGUAAAACGAGCGCAGGCGGGGUAACAAGGUUGGGAUGAAAGGCUUUUGGUUAAAGGAAGGU
rnacentral:rRNA from 1 species